GUCCACCGCUAUGCCACUCUGAACACACCUGAUCUCCUCCGGUCUUGGAAGCUAAGCAGGUUGGGUCUGGUUGGUACUUGGAUGGGAGAGUACCUGGGAAUACCAAGUGCUGUAGGCU
rnacentral:rRNA from 1 species